rnacentral:rRNA from 1 species
UGCCUCAGUAACGGCGAGUGAAGCGGCAAAAGCUCAAAUUUGAAAUCUGGCUCCUUCGGGGCCCGAGUUGUAAUUUGCAGAGGAUGCUUCGGGCGUGGCCGCGGUCUAAGUCCCCUGGAACGGGGCGUCGCAGAGGGUGAGAAUCCCGUCUUCGGCCGGCCGGCUUCGCCCGUGUGAAGCUCCUUCGACGAGUCGAGUUGUUUGGGAAUGCAGCUCUAAAUGGGUGGUAAAUUUCAUCUAAAGCUAAAUAUUGGUCGGAGACCGAUAGCGCACAAGUAGAGUGAUCGAAAGAUGAAAAGCACUUUGAAAAGAGAGUUAAACAGCAUGUGAAAUUGUUGAAAGGGAAGCGCUUGCGACCAGAGUCGGCCGCGGGGGUUCAGCGGGCAUUCGUUGCCCGUGCACUCCCCCGCGGGCGGGCCAGCGUCGGUUUUGACGGCCGGUCAAAGGCCCCCGGAAUGUGUCGCCUCUCGGGGCGUCUUAUAGCCGGGGGUGCAAUGCGGCCAGUCGGGACCGAGGAACGCGCUUCGGCACGGACGCUGGCUUAAUGGUCGUAAGCGACCCGUCUUGAAACACGGACCAAGGAGUCUAACAUCCACGCGAGUGUUCGGGUGUCAAACCCGUCCGCGCAGUGAAAGCGAACGGAGGUGGGAACCCUUAAGGGUGCACCAUCGACCGAUCCUGAAGUCUUCGGAUGGAUUUGAGUAAGAGCGUGGCUGUUGGGACCCGAAAGAUGGUGAACUAUGCCUGAAUAGGGUGAAGCCAGAGGAAACUCUGGUGGAGGCUCGCAGCGGUUCUGACGUGCAAAUCGAUCGUCAAAUUUGGCAUAGGGCGAAAGACUAAUCGAAACCAUCUAGUAGCUGGCUCUGCG